UACGAAGGUCGCAAGCGUUAUCCGGAGUUACUGGGCGUAAAGAGUUCGUAGCUGGUCUAGUAAGUCUGAUUUUAAAGACUCUGUCUCAAGCAGAGGAAGGGGUCAGAUACUGCUAUUCUGGAGAUAACUGGGGGUUAGUGGAAUUACCGGUGGAGGGUGAAAUCCGUUGAUAUCGGUAGGAACGCCAAAAGCGAAAGCAACUAACUAUGGUUUUCUGACAGUCAAGAACGAAAGCUCGGGGAUCAAACGGG
rnacentral:rRNA from 1 species